UAAAUCCCUUGAAGAAGUGGACGCUAUCGAUGCAAAUAAUCUGAUAAGGCAGCGAAGAGAACUCAUCAGCCAUCGUCCCCAAAACCAAACCCUCAUCACCGUCGGCUGCUGAGGAGGAGGCGGCGACGACAGCGGCGAAGAAUCGAGCAAGGUGAUGACUUUCUGCUUCUCUCCAGCAGCUCCUUCCUUUGCCCAACUCCACUCCUCCUCUUCCUUCCCUCUACCUCUCGCUUCCUCGCCCUCAUGCAGGAGUAAAAGGAAAAGCUUCAUUCCGUCCCACCCCCUUUCCUUUCCCCACUUCCUUCAUCUCCAUCGGCAUCUCCACAAGCCACUCAGUGUCUCCCUAGAAGACCACCAUAUCUCCUCUCCUCCUUCUCCUCCAUCUUCGCAUCCAUCGCCCUUCAAGAACUCCAUCUGGGUCAACCCCAACAGCCCUCGCGCCUCCCGCCUCCGCCAGCGCUCCUCCGAUUCCCGCUACGCCCGCCUUGCCCUCCUCGCUGCCUCCCUAGACUCCUCCGACCCUACCGACCCUUCCAUCUCCGCCGUCCUUGCCUCCUUCGGCAGCGCAGCAACCGUGCAGGACGCCGUCAUCGUCCUUAACAGCAUGUCCAACUCCCAUAAUGCCGUUCUUGCUCUUCGUUGGUUCCAGCGCAAGAUCGGCAGGGAGGUAGUUCUCUACAACGUCACGCUUAAGGUUCUUAGAAAGUCCAAGGACUUGGUGGUCGCGGAGGGCCUCUGGGGGGAGAUGCUGGAAAAAGGAAUUAAGCCGGAUAACGUGACAUUCACAACUAUGAUAAGCUGUGCCAGGUUCUGCAACAAGCCCGAAAAAGCAGUCGAGUGGUUUGAGAAAAUGCCCGAGUUUGGAUGCCACCCAGAUGAUAUCACCUACUCGGCCAUGAUUGAUGCUUAUGGUCGGUUGAAUAAUGUGGAGAUGGCUCUUGAAUUGUACGACCGUGCUCGUGCAGAAAAGUGGCGGCUUGAUCCUGUGACUUUUGCGACUGUGAUUAGGGUAUAUGGCAUUUCAGGUAAUUUUGAUGGGGCGCUGAAUGUGUACGAAGAGAUGAAGGCCCUUGGUGCUAAGCCUAAUUUGGUUAUUUACAAUACGUUGUUGGAUGCCAUGGGCAGGGCCAGAAGACCAUGGCAAGUCAAGACUAUUUACCGUGAAAUGUGUAGCAAGGGGUUGGCUCCUAACAGAGCAACAUACUCAGCUCUUCUGCGAGCAUAUGCUAAAGCUAGAUAUGCUGAAGAUGCGCUUGACGUGUAUAGGCAGAUGAGGAAGGAAAUGGAGCUUGAUAUAAUCUUGUACAACAUGCUUUUGUCAAUGUGCGCUGAUGUUGGUUCAGUUGAUGAAGCAGUGAAAAUUUUUAAUGAAAUGAAGGAGUUAUCAAAUGCCUGCAAACCAGAUAGUUGGAGUUACUCGGCUAUGAUAACUGCAUACUCGUGCAGUGGAAAAGUUUCUGAGGCUGAAAGCAUGUUGAAUGAGAUGUCAGAAGCUGGGUAUCAGCCAAAUAUUUUUGUGCUUACAUCUCUAAUCCAGUGCUAUGGCAAAGCUGGAAGAACUGAUAGCAUUGUUAAAGCAUUUGACAAACUUCUAGGUUGGGGGAUCAAACCUGAUGAUAGGUUAUGUGGCUGUCUCCUGAAUGUGGUAGCUCAGACGGCAACAGAAGAACUUGGGAAGAUUAUUGGUUGUAUUGAAAGAGGAAAUACUCAGCUGGGUUCUUUAGUAAAUUUGCUGGUUGACGAGGCUUGUGACAAUGAUACAGUUAGACAAGAAGCUGUAGUACUCUUCCAUAACGUGAGUAGCGAAGUAAAAAGAGCUUAUAGUAAUUGUUUGAUAGAUCUCUGUGUAAACCUCAACCAUUUGGAAAGAGCGUGUGUGCUUCUCGACCUGGCAAUUCAACUUGAGAUAUAUACAGAUCUUCAAUCUCGAUCUGCUACACAGUGGUCCUUAUAUGUGAAGGGUCUCUCACAUGGAGCUGCUCUAACUGCAUUACAUGUUUGGAUGAAUGAUCUAGCCAAAUCCUUACAGAAUGGAGAAAACUUGCCUCCAUUACUUGGUAUCUUCACAGGGCAUGGAAAACAUAAAUAUUCAGAAAAAGGGUUAGCAUCUGUUUUCCAGUCUCACUUGAGAGAAAUCUGUGCACCAUUUCAUGAAGCACCAGACAAGGCUGGAUGGUUUCUAACCACACAACUUGCGGCUGAAUCAUGGUUGGAGUCAAGAAACUCAUCUUACAAAGUUGCUGCUUAGGAUACACGGGUAAGCCCAACUAUUGUGACAAAUGAGUAAAAUUCUGAGCCAGUCUGAAUUUUACUUCAAAAACUCUGUUAUUAAGAAGGCAAUUAUGAUUAUCAAAAAUUACAUUGGAUUUCAUCCAGAAAGAAUAAAAGUUGGCAUCAUUUGUUGUAGGUUGAAGCCAGCUGAGUUGAUCUUAGGCUUCCUGAGGAUUCUAGCAAGUAACCUAGAACCUAAACUUUUAUGAAUCAUAUAUUUAUGUUGAAGGUAGUAUGCGAAUAUGUGGGGACUGCCAUUUUAUCUCUAAUAAAAGCUUUCUCUGUGUCAUCAUUGGAAAUCGAUAUUUAGAAUUUAUCCUGUCAAACUCAGACCCCACUAGUUUGAUCUUUAUAUUCAUUCUUAAGCUUAGGAAAUUUGGCACUUUCUAUGAGUAUGAACUAAACUCUUUCCGCAGCAAGGCAAUUUUCCGAGUUCAAGAAAUCCAAAAUGGACUUAGAAAAAUGAGCUGUGUAAUUUGUAUUUCAGAAUGCCCAUAUUCUUCAAUGAGAACUGGACCUUUUGAGCAGGAAAUCAUGUUUGAGCAACUUGGCUAAGAUCUAGAAGUAGAAGAGUAAUUCAUGAAGGAAAAAAGUUUGAAGGACAAACGUACCCAAAAUACUAUUUUGUAGCCUGUUGAGCUCAAUUAUUACAGGGUCAGAAGGACUCGCAAAGAGUUCCUUGGCUCCUGCUGCAUCACCCAAGCCGCCCAUUGUACAGCACACUUCACUUCUUCAAACAGAUCUUUAUCCCCUUUUUUUACUUCCAGAGAAGACCGCCGUGCCAAAAACUGGAGGAUUCGAGGCAAUUUAUGAUGGAGGUUAUCUUGAGAGACAGCCAUUCUCCAGGAGGAAAUCCACCGUAAAGAAGAAGAGAGACAAUGGACAGAAUUGACACAUCCAGAGAAUGAGCAGCUGAAAACGGCAACAACUCAGCCUGAUUGAUAACUAUCAUUUUGUAGGUACAUCUCCUCCAUCACCAUUUGUUAUUUUCUUUUAUCACUAAAAAAUAGCUUUUAGCGUGUGGAUUUGACAACAUGCCCCACAAGAUGAUACAGUCUUCCAAGACAACGGUUUUGUAUGGGCAUACUUUUGUUGCUGAUAGAUAUUAAUCAGAGUUUGCGUUAAAAACAAAGGAAAAACCAAGUAUCGAUCUCUCGUAAGAGAAUUAAGUGGACACACCAAUACAUAGAGUGUGUUCGAUUUGCAUCAUACUUGUUAUAUUCUUUUUCUUGUUAAUCAAAUUAUAAAUGUGUGAAUGUUGCAAGAAAAGGCAGAAAAAGAAGUUUCAGCAGAAUUAUGUAGUCGGCACUGUUUCUUUUCUUGCCAGUUGCGGAUUCAUUGAACCACUAAGCAUUGUUUUAUCAGGGUGGUUUGUUCAAUCAAAGUCAGUAGCCAACAAGCCAUGUUCCCCUGUUCGCACGUAGCAGAGCAAAUAAACCCGGGUCAAAAUGAGACAUCUGAAAGAAAAGCUUACAACAUGUGAUCCCUUAGUCAAAAUGACCUGUGGCCCUUCGAUUUGGACCAGGAACAACUAUGGAAGUGUGUGGAUUACAAGGUUGGUGAGAAGAUGACACAAAGUGGAUGCUUUAUUAAUUUUUGUUUUAUGAAUUAAGAUCAAAUAUGAAAUAGAUAAUCCUAUUGGACUUGAUUGUUCUAUAAUUAUUUGUGUUUAUUUGUUUUUCUUCUACGGUAAAAGAAAUGGCAGCCUUUAUUCUCUA